UCUAAUCUGAAUUGGCCUAUUAACUAAAAUUUUCCUUUCAUUUUACUACAUUUUCCUAUAAAAGAAAAAAAUGAAAAAAAAAAUACAAAACUCGCUGGUCACAAAGCACAAAAUUCCCGCCAUCGAAGCAUAUAAAGCAAACAUAUUCUUCAUCCUUCUUCCUCCGAGGUACCAGCACCGGCGCCGACGAAGGCAUGAUUCUGGCCAGAUUCUUCGACGGUCUUCCCCGCCUCCGUUUCAUCUAAACAACUUUGAUUCCAUUCCCCAACCUCACCUCCCCCAUACCACCACCAUCUUCACGAACCGCAACAUCGACGAGAUUCAAAUACUCCGUUGACGGAAUCUUCCGGCAACAAAUUAAAGGCCCAGCAAUAAAUAGCCUAGGCCUACGAAAUCGAAACUGGUGGUGCUUCAAGGCUCAGAUGGCUGUCUACGGUAGCACGCCAUUCUUCAUUACCAUUAGAUUAUUCCAAAGGUGUUAUGGCGAAGUUAACGAAGCAGCGGCGAUGGAAAUUGAUGAUCCAAAUUCAAAUAUUUGUGACCAGGAUCAGCCCCAAG